AUACUCAAGAAGAUAGAGACAAAACAAUAGCAAGUUAUUCUUUGGCAUUAAGAGCGUUGUAAUUUUCUGUUAUAAUUCAAAUUUAAAUUCAAAUUGUUUUUCAUUUAGUUUUUCUAAAGUGCUGUGAUAAAAUUCAAAAGUUUUUAAUUAUUAAUUAUCUGUCAACUUAUAAAUGUAACAAAAUAAUAUUUUCAUAUUUAAUAAAAUACCCCUGAAGAAGUCGAGAAAUUACGACGAAACGUAGGGAGAAAGUAUGAAAUAAAGAUUUUUAUUUGCAUAUAAAAGGAAGUGACCAAAAAAGCCCGAUUCAACAUAAACAGAAAAAAUAUAUUUUUACUUUACCUCAGAUUCGCUAUAAACACAAAAACAAUACACGGAGAAAAAA